AUACUUACCUGGCAGGGGAGAUACCAUGAUCACGAAGGCAGUUUUCCCAUGGCGAGACUUAUCCAUUUCACUCCAGAUGUGCUGACCCUGUGAUUUCCCCAAAUGUGGGAAACUCGACUGCAGAAUUUGUGGUAGUUGGGGACUGCUACAAAACUAUUUCCAU